rnacentral:rRNA from 1 species
UACGUAGGGUGCGAGCGUUAAUCGGAAUUACUGGGCGUAAAGCGUGCGCAGGCGGCUUUGUAAGACGGAUGUGAAAGCCCCGGGCUCAACCUGGGAAGUGCAUUCGUGACUGCAAGGCUAGAGUGCGUCAGAGGGAGGUGGAAUUCCGCGUGUAGCAGUGAAAUGCGUAGAGAUGCGGAGGAACACCGAUGGCGAAGGCAGCCUCCUGGGAUGACACUGACGCUCAUGCACGAAAGCGUGGGGAGCAAACAGGAUUAGAUACCCUGGUAGUCCACGCCCUAAACGAUGUCAACUAGUUGUCGGGGAUUCGUUUCCUUGGUAACGCAGCUAACGCGUGAAGUUGACCGCCUGGGGAGUACGGCCGCAAGGUUAAA